AAGUCGGAGCUUUCCUUCAGUGAGUCGAGCCAUGCGGGCAUCAAUAGAUACAAAAAUACCAAAUGUCUUAUUGUGAAAGGUGAAAGAGGAAGUAGAUCUGUAUUAGCCGUCCCAGGAAUCGGCAUUUAUUGACUACAUUUCACAAAGUGCGGUGAGUUAUUCCACCACAUCACCACAGUUCUGUCCAGUUUAAGGUGUUUAAACUGAAUCUAACUAAUCAGAGUCAGAUCAGCAGUUAGUUGAAGGUCAAGUUGUUUUCAGAGCCUUCAUCUCACCAGCGGUAACCAGCGACUGAUGGGAGAUAAUCUCACUUCAUCAUCUCAGGAGCCGCAAGGUAAACGUGUAAAUCAGCUGUCUGCUUUUGUUCUGUUGCCACAAAAUACGAUUAUUUACUCAUUAUUUCCAAAAAUGGGGGAAGUGCGGAUUGAGAUGAACAUCCCGAUGGAAGAAGAAGGAGAAGUUCUCCACCGGCGUCGUCGCCCCGACUUCCCGUCUCCUUAUUCAUCGCCAUGGAAACGGACACACCCUUCAUUUAUGGGAUGUUCCACUCCAAAUGGACCCAGCAGCAUCUCCACACCAGGACGUCCUGCUGUGGUGGGAAGUGUUGUAAAACGCCUCACGACCUCCAGCACCGACUUGCAUGACUGGAUUAUUUCAUAUUUGAAAGGAGUAUUUGUGCGUUUGAGGAGCCUUCAACUUCAAACUGGACUCUCGUGUCCUGAGCUUCCUUUCAGUUCCCCUGUUGCAUGGCAACACGUGUUUCAUUGUGGUCUUUGUGGUCAGAUGGGGCACUUUAUCCAUGUGAAGGAGCCCAGUGGAGAAGGAGCCUGCGGGAUUCAUAGAUGGAUGGAUGACAUCUUACAUUUCACAUCAGCUUCAUCUGCCUCGAAUCCAGCAUCCGCAGCGCCGUCCAUCCUAUAAACAUUAAACACUGAAGUGAAGAACAAAUUGGAGGUUUUUAUACAUUAUUUGAGCAUUUCUUUAUCUGCUAUUUUGUACUUUUACUCCACAACAUGUCAGAAAUAAAUAAUGUUCUUUUUGCUGAAGAGUUUUUGUAGUUUUCUGUUGAUUUAUUUCAGAAAUGUGGUAUAACUGAAAUAUAGCUGACCUGUGGAAUCUUAGUGACGAACUGACGUGUUCCUUUAUGUGUAGAACGUAGUGAUAAACUGAGGUACGAAGUGUUUCUUCUCAUGAUGAUCGUCAUAAUGUCACUUCAUCUUUGUUAAAAGUGUCGGGUUUUUUUCAGCUUUAUCCGUUUGUCUCUCAAAUAAAAAAUAAGAAAAAAAGAAAAGCGGUGAGGAAGGACCCAGUCAUACCUGACCUUUUUGUCUCCUCGGGUUGCCACGGUAACGUGGCAUGAAUGCUGAAAGCUAAACAUAGACAACUAACUAACGCACAAACACACACACACACACACAGUCGUCCCACUCGUGUGGACAAAAGCUCAGUGAGGUGGUGAUUAUGUAGAAAUACACACACACACACACACAGUAGUGGGUUUUAUUACAAGGGCUUAAAGGCUGCAGGUGGGGAAGGACAGGUGUGUGUGUGUGUGUGUGUGUGUGUGUGUGUGUGUGUGUGUGUCGGGGUGUUCACCUCAUGUUCAGCAUCGCAGAUCUAGAAGCUGAUGUUGUAGUUCCUCGUCUCAGGUGGUUCAUCAGCACAGUAUCAG
ensembl:lncRNA